GGUUAAGUGACUAAGCGUACACGGUGGAUGCCUUGGCAGUCAGAGGCGAUGAAAGACGUAGUAACUUGCGAUAAGCCCAGAUUAGGUAGUAACAACCAUUUGAGUCUGGGAUUUCUGAAUGGGGAAACCCACGUGCAUAAGCACGUAUCCUUACCUGAAUACAUAGGGUAAGGAGGCGAACCGGGGGAACUGAAACAUCUAAGUACCCCGAGGAAAAGAAAUCAACCGAGAUUCCGAAAGUAGCGGCGAGCGAAAUUGGACUAGCCCUUAAGCUUUACACGCGUUAGACGAACGGUCUGGAAAGUCCGACGAUACAGGGUGAUAGUCCCGUAGUUGACGACGUGUGUUCAGUGAAAUCGAGUAGGGCGGGACACGUGAUAUCCUGUCUGAAUAUGGGGGGACCAUCCUCCAAGGCUAAAUACUACUGACUGACCGAUAGUGAACCAGUACCGUGAGGGAAAGGCGAAAAGAACCCCUGUGAGGGGAGUGAAAUAGAACCUGAAACCGUGUACGUACAAGCAGUAGGAGCAGGCUUGUCCUGUGACUGCGUACCUUUUGUAUAAUGGGUCAGCGACUUAUAUUCAGUGGCAAGGUUAACCAUCUAGGGGAGCCGUAGGGAAACCGAGUCUUAACUGGGCGUUCAGUCUCUGGAUAUAGACCCGAAACCAGGUGAUCUAGCCAUGGGCAGGUUGAAGGUUGAGUAACAUCAACUGGAGGACCGAACCGACUAAUGUUGAAAAAUUAGCGGAUGACUUGUGGCUAGGGGUGAAAGGCCAAUCAAACCUGGAGAUAGCUGGUUCUCCCCGAAAGCUAUUUAGGUAGCGCCUCGGACGAAUACUACUGGGGGUAGAGCACUGUUAAGGCUAGGGGGUCAUCCCGACUUACCAACCCUUUGCAAACUCCGAAUACCAGUAAGUACUAUCCGGGAGACACACGGCGGGUGCUAACGUCCGUCGUGGAGAGGGAAACAACCCAGACCGCCAGCUAAGGUCCCAAAUUACUACUAAGUGGGAAACGAUGUGGGAAGGCUCAGACAGCCAGGAUGUUGGCUUAGAAGCAGCCAUCAUUUAAAGAAAGCGUAAUAGCUCACUGGUCGAGUCGGCCUGCGCGGAAGAUGUAACGGGGCUAAGUAGUAAACCGAAGCUGCGGCAAUGUGCUUUUGCACAUUGGGUAGGGGAGCGUUCUGUAAGCGGUUGAAGGUGUGUGGUAACGCAUGCUGGACGUAUCAGAAGUGCGAAUGCUGACAUGAGUAACGAUAAAGGGGGUGAAAAACCUCCUCGCCGGAAGACCAAGGGUUCCUGUCCAACGUUAAUCGGGGCAGGGUAAGUCGACCCCUAAGGCGAGGCCGAAAGGCGUAGUCGAUGGGAAACGGGUUAAUAUUCCCGUACUUCUUACAAUUGCGAUGGGGGGACGGAGAAGGCUAGGUGGGCCUGGCGACGGUUGUCCAGGUUCAAGUGCGUAGGCUUAAGAGUUAGGUAAAUCCGGCUCUUUCUAAGGCUGAGACACGACGUCGAGCACCUACGGGUGUGAAGUCAUUGAUGCCAUGCUUCCAGGAAAAGCCUCUAAGCUUCAGAUUGUAAGGAAUCGUACCCCAAACCGACACAGGUGGUCGGGUAGAGAAUACCAAGGCGCUUGAGAGAACUCGGGUGAAGGAACUAGGCAAAAUGGUACCGUAACUUCGGGAGAAGGUACGCUCUCGACGGUGAAGUCCCUUGCGGAUGGAGCUAUUGAGAGUCGCAGAUACCAGGUGGCUGCAACUGUUUAUUAAAAACACAGCACUGUGCAAAAUCGUAAGAUGACGUAUACGGUGUGACGCCUGCCCGGUGCCGGAAGGUUAAUUGAUGGGGUUAGACUUCGGUCGAAGCUCUUGAUCGAAGCCCCGGUAAACGGCGGCCGUAACUAUAACGGUCCUAAGGUAGCGAAAUUCCUUGUCGGGUAAGUUCCGACCUGCACGAAUGGCGUAAUGAUGGCCACGCUGUCUCCACCCGAGACUCAGUGAAAUUGAAAUCGCUGUGAAGAUGCAGUGUACCCGCGGCUAGACGGAAAGACCCCGUGAACCUUUACUACAGCUUGGCACUGAACAUUGACCCUACAUGUGUAGGAUAGGUGGGAGGCUUUGAAGACGGUACGCCAGUAUCGUUGGAGCCGUCCUUGAAAUACCACCCUUGUAGUGUUGAUGUUCUAACGUUGACCCCUUAUCGGGGUUACGGACAGUGCCUGGUGGGUAGUUUGACUGGGGCGGUCUCCUCCCAAAGAGUAACGGAGGAGCACGAAGGUGGGCUAAUCACGGUUGGACAUCGUGAGGUUAGUGCAAUGGCAUAAGCCCGCUUGACUGCGAGAAUGACAAUUCGAGCAGGUGCGAAAGCAGGUCAUAGUGAUCCGGUGGUUCUGAAUGGAAGGGCCAUCGCUCAACGGAUAAAAGGUACUCCGGGGAUAACAGGCUGAUACCGCCCAAGAGUUCAUAUCGACGGCGGUGUUUGGCACCUCGAUGUCGGCUCAUCACAUCCUGGGGCUGAAGUCGGUCCCAAGGGUAUGGCUGUUCGCCAUUUAAAGUGGUACGCGAGCUGGGUUUAGAACGUCGUGAGACAGUUCGGUCCCUAUCUGCCGUGGGCGUUGGAAGAUUGAAGGGGGCUGCUCCUAGUACGAGAGGACCGGAGUGGACGAACCUCUGGUGUUCGGGUUGUGUCGCCAGACGCAUUGCCCGGUAGCUAAGUUCGGAAUCGAUAACCGCUGAAAGCAUCUAAGCGGGAAGCGAGCCCUGAGAUGAGUCUUCCCUGAUACUUUAAGUAUCCUAAAGGGUUGUCGGAGACUACGACGUUGAUAGGUCAGGUGUGUAAGUGCUGUGAGGCAUUGAGCUAACUGAUACUAAUUGCCCGUGAGGCUUAACCAU
rnacentral:rRNA from 1 species